rnacentral:rRNA from 1 species
CCUGAACGCUGGCGGCGUGGCUAAGACAUGCAAGUCGGACGGGGCGGCCCGCAAGGGCCGCCCAGUGGCGGACGGGUGAGUAAUGAAUCGCUAACGUACCCCGGGCUCCGGGAUAGCCGGCCGAAAGGCCGGGUAAUACCGGACGACACCCCGCCGAGGCAUCUCGGCGGGCUCAAAGGCCGCAAGGCCGGCCCGGGAGCGGGUGAUUUCGUAUCAGCUAGUUGGUGCGGGUAACGGCCCACCAAGGCGACGACGCGUAGCUGGUCUGAGAGGACGGCCAGCCACAUUGGGACUGAGACACUGCCCAGACUCCUACGGGGGGCUGCAGUAACGAAUCUUCCGCAAUGCACGAAAGUGUGACGGAGCGACGCCGCGUGGAGGUUAAGUCCUUCGGGAUGUAAACUCCUGUCAGGGGCUACCAAGUUCUGAGGAGCCCCAGAGGAAGGCACGGCUAACUCUGUGCCAGCAGCCGCGGUAAUACAGAGGUGCCGAGCGUUAGGCGGAAUCACUGGGCUUAAAGCGCGUGUAGGCGGGUCGUUAAGUGUCCGCGUGAAAUCCCACGGCUCAACCGUGGAACGGCCGGGCAGACUGGCGACCUUGAGGUGCUCAGGGGCGAGCGGAACGAACGGUGGAGCGGUGAAAUGCGUAGAUAUCGUUCGGAACGCCGACGGUGAAAACAGCUCGCUGGGAGCAUCCUGACGCUGAGACGCGAAAGCCAGGGGAGCGAACGGGAUUAGAUACCCCGGUAGUCCUGGCCCUAAACGAUGUCCACUACGUCAUGGCCGCUCUGACGCGGUCAUGGCCGGAGCAAA